GACGAACGCUGGCGGUGUGCCUAACACAUGCAAGUUGAGCGCUAACGGAUGGUGCUUUUGCCCACUGGGUGAGCAGCUGACGGGUGAGUAACGCGUGGAGAAUCUGCUUUUUAUCGGGGGACAACAUCUUGAAACGACUGCUAAUACUGCAUAAAACCUUUAACCACAAGAUUCAAGUUUUAAUGAUGCCUUUGCAUCAUUCAUAGAUCAUUCGCCGUUUUUUUAGUUAGUGGGUGAGGUAAAGGCCCACCAAGGCGAGGAUACGUAGCCGACCGGAGUGGUUGAUGGCCACAAUGGGACUUGGACAAGGGCCAAAACCCUACGGGGAGCAGCAGGAGGGAAUCUUCGGACAAGGAGGAAAGUCUGGACGAGCAACGCCGGGGGAGGGGAGAAGGUUUUCGGGGCGGAAAAGUCUGUUGGUAGGGAAGAAAGUGGGUGAGGGUGGAAAGCUGAUGAAGUGACGGUAACUACCGAGAAAGCAGCGGCUAACUACGUG
rnacentral:rRNA from 1 species